AAAUUGAAGAGUUUGAUCAUGGCUCAGAUUGAACGCUGGCGGCAGGCCUAACACAUGCAAGUCGAACGGUAACAGGAAGCAGCUUGCUGCUUUGCUGACGAGUGGCGGACGGGUGAGUAAUGUCUGGGAAACUGCCUGAUGGAGGGGGAUAACUACUGGAAACGGUAGCUAAUACCGCAUAACGUCGCAAGACCAAAGAGGGGGACCUUCGGGCCUCUUGCCAUCGGAUGUGCCCAGAUGGGAUUAGCUAGUAGGUGGGGUAAAGGCUCACCUAGGCGACGAUCCCUAGCUGGUCUGAGAGGAUGACCAGCCACAC
rnacentral:rRNA from 1 species